rnacentral:rRNA from 1 species
AGUGAACGCUGGCGGUAGGCCUAACACAUGCAAGUCGAACGGCAGCACAGUAAGAGCUUGCUCUUACGGGUGGCGAGUGGCGGACGGGUGAGGAAUACAUCGGAAUCUACUUUUUCGUGGGGGAUAACGUAGGGAAACUUACGCUAAUACCGCAUACGACCUACGGGUGAAAGCAGGGGAUCUUCGGACCUUGCGCGAUUGAAUGAGCCGAUGUCGGAUUAGCUAGUUGGCGGGGUAAAGGCCCACCAAGGCGACGAUCCGUAGCUGGUCUGAGAGGAUGAUCAGCCACACUGGAACUGAGACACGGUCCAGACUCCUACGGGAGGCAGCAGUGGGGAAUAUUGGACAAUGGGCGCAAGCCUGAUCCAGCCAUACCGCGUGGGUGAAGAAGGCCUUCGGGUUGUAAAACCCUUUUGUUGGGAAAGAAAAGCAGCAGGUUAAUACCCCGCUGUUCUGACGGUACCCAAAUAAUAAGCACCGGCUAACUUCGUG